GACGAACCGUGCGAACGUUAUUCGGAAUCACUGGGCUUAAAGGGCGCGUAGGCGGGCUGCACAGUCAGGGGUGAAAUCCUCCGGCUCAACCGGAGAAGGGCCUUUGAUACUGGCAGCCUCGAGGGGUGCAGGGGCGUGCGGAACUCAGGGUGGAGCGGUGAAAUGCGUAGAUAUCCUGAGGAACACCGGUGGCGAAGGCGGCACGCUGGACACCUUCUGACGCUGAGGCGCGAAAGCCAGGGGAGCAAACGGG
rnacentral:rRNA from 1 species